GUGAGCGGAGCGGACAACUGAUCCGAGGAGCACAGGCAUACAAGUAUGUCCAUCCUAAACUACUGUUAACAUCCUUCGACGGAUUCUCUGUUCAUUCUGGCUGAUGUCACUGGCAGACAUCGAGGGGGAAGAGAGUCUUCCAGACACACCCAGAAUCAUUAUGCUUGAAGCGCAUUUUGGAGGUCACACACUGAUGUUGGACGAGGCGACUGGCUCUCAGGAUCCGCUCUAAUUCAUCCCAAAGGUGUUCUAUUGAGUUGAGGUUAGGACCCUGUGCAGGCCAGUCAAGUUCAUCCAGACCAAACUCUGUUAUCCAUGCCUUUAUGGACCUUGCUUUGUGCACUGGUGCACUGUCAUGUUGGAACAGGAAGGGGCCAUCCCCGAGCUGGGCUUGGUCCCUUAGUUCCAGUGAAAGGAACUUUG